GCCGGGCGUGGUGGUGGGCGCCUGUAGUCCCAGCUACUUGGGAGGCUGAGGCAGGAGAAUGGCGUGAACCCGGGAGGCGGAGCUUGCAGUGAGCCGAGAUCGCCACUGCACUCCAGUCUGGGCGACAGAGCGAGACUCCGUCUCAAAAAAAAAAAAAAAAAAAAAAAAAAAAAAAAUUUUUUUUUUUUGAGACGGUCUCACUCUGUCACUCAGGCUGGAGUGCAGUGGCGCCAUCUCGGCUCACUGCAAGCUCCACCUCCCGGGUUCACACCAUUCUCCUGCCUC
rnacentral:SRP_RNA from 1 species